rnacentral:rRNA from 1 species
UACAGAGGUCUCAAGCGUUGUUCGGAUUCAUUGGGCGUAAAGGGUGCGUAGGCGGCGCCGUAAGUCAGGUGUGAAAUUUCGGAGCUUAACUCCGAAACUGCAUUUGAUACUGCGGUGCUUGAGGACUGGAGAGGAGACUGGAAUUCACGGUGUAGCAGUGAAAUGCGUAGAUAUCGUGAGGAAGACCAGUGGCGAAGGCGGGUCUCUGGACAGUGCCUGACACUGAGGCACGAAGGCCAGGGGAGCAAACGGG